UCUUGAGUGUGUUUCUCACAAUUUGGUACUGAAACCCAGGAAACGAGGUCGCCUGCGGUGAGCCUCUGCCUCUACAGCACAGGAUGGUACAUCCUGUUCUUAUUCCUGCAGCCCUGUGGGUUGGCGGUGGUGGGUCAUCGCAGAGCCGGCUGUGGACCCAAGGAUGUUUUUAAGAGGCAAGAUCUGAGAACAGCUGGGAAAUAGGGAUGGACAGGGGGCACUGCAGUAUGGUGUGAUUGACCUGAUAAUUCUUGGCAACUCUGCACAGAUUAAGCUGUCUCCCACGUCUUCCUUGCAACCCAAUCAGCUGCAUGCUGGUGCAAAGCUCUCAGAAACUGAUGGAGUCUGUUGCAGCAGCAGAAUUAGGAAUGAA
ensembl:lncRNA